UNUGCUGUGAAAGGCUGGGGCUUAACCCUGGUUUUGCAGUGGGUACGGGCUAACUAGAGUGCAGUAGGGGAGACUGGAAUUCCUGGUGUAGCGGUGGAAUGCGCAGAUAUCAGGAGGAACACCGAUGGCGAAGGCAGGUCUCUGGGCUGUAACUGACGCUGAGAAGCGAAAGCAUGGGGAGCGAACAGGAUUAGAUACCCUGGUAGUCCAUGCCGUAAACGUUGGGCACUAGGUGUGGGGGACAUUCCACGUUUUCCGCGCCGUAGCUAACGCAUUAAGUGCCCCGCCUGGGGAGUACGGCCGCAAGGCUAAAACUCAAAGAAAUUGACGGGGGCCCGCACAAGCGGCGGAGCAUGCGGAUUAAUUCGAUGCAACGCGAAGAACCUUACCAAGGCUUGACAUAUACUGGACUGCGUCAGAGAUGGCGUUUCCCUUCGGGGCUGGUAUACAGGUGGUGCAUGGUUGUCGUCAGCUCGUGUCGUGAGAUGUUGGGUUAAGUCCCGCAACGAGCGCAACCCUCGUUCUAUGUUGCCAGCACGUGAUGGUGGGGACUCAUAGGAGACUGCCGGGGUCAACUCGGAGGAAGGUGGGGAUGACGUCAAAUCAUCAUGCCCCUUAUGUCUUGGGCUUCACGCAUGCUACAAUGGCCGGUACAGAGGGUUGCGAUACUGUGAGGUGGAGCUAAUCCCUAAAAGCUGGUCUCAGUUCGGAUUGGGGUCUGCAACUCGACCCCAUGAAGUCGGAGUCGCUAGUAAUCGCAGAUCAGCAACGCUGCGGUGAAUACGUUCCCGGGCCUUGUACACACCGCCCGUCAAGUCACGAAAGUUGGUAACACCCGAAGCCGGUGGCCUAACCCUGGUGGGGGGAGCCGUNGAA
rnacentral:rRNA from 1 species